AUUGAACGCUGGCGGCAUGCCUUACACAUGCAAGUCGAACGGCAGCACGGGAGCAAUCCUGGUGGCGAGUGGCGAACGGGUGAGUAAUAUAUCGGAACGUGCCCGGUCGUGGGGGAUAACGUAGCGAAAGCUACGCUAAUACCGCAUACGAUCUACGGAUGAAAGCGGGGGAUCGCAAGACCUCGCGCGAUUGGAGCGGCCGAUAUCAGAUUAGGUAGUUGGUGAGGUAAAGGCUCACCAAGCCGACGAUCUGUAGCUGGUCUGAGAGGACGACCAGCCACACUGGGACUGAGACACGGCCCAGACUCCUACGGGAGGCAGCAGUGGGGAAUUUUGGACAAUGGGCGGCAAGCCUGAUCCAGCAAUGCCGCGUGCAGGAUGAAGGCCUUC
rnacentral:rRNA from 1 species